rnacentral:rRNA from 1 species
AGUGAACGCUGGCGGCGUGCUUAACACAUGCAAGUCGAACGAGAACGGGAUAUAGCUUGCUAUAUUUGUCAGCUAAGUGGCGCACGGGUGAGUAAUGUAUAGAUAACCUGCCCUCUAGAAAGGAAUAACAGUUGGAAACGACUGCCAAUGCCCUAUAUGCCUUUAAUACAUAAGUAUGCAAGGGAAACGCUUUAGUGCUAGAGGAUGGUUCUGUAUGGUAUCAGCUUGUUGGUGAGGUAAUGGCUCACCAAGGCUAUGACGCCUAACUGGUUUGGGAGGAUGAUCAGUCACACUGGAACUGAGACACGGUCCAGACUCCUACGGGAGGCAGCAGUGGGGAAUAUUGCACAAUGGACGAAAGUCUGAUGCAGCAACGCCGCGUGGAGGAUGACACAUUUCGGUGCGUAAACUCCUUUUAUAUAGGAAGAUAAUGACGGUACUAUAUGAAUAAGCACCGGCUAACUCCGUGCCAGCCGCCGCAGUAAGAC